AGAACAGGGAGACGGAGCGCUGCGCAGCCUUCGGGGACAGCCUUCGAAGCCUCUGCAGGGCAGCGGGAUGCCUUUACCCCACUGCCCUGUGGAGGCUAUGCGCAGCCAUCCCCAAGCUAGAACAGCGAGACGGAGCGCUGCGCAGCGCUCCGUCUCCCUGUUCU